UAGCUUCAUAGAAGCUAUUUCAGUUAGUUGGGUUGUUACCAUACGACAUAAUAUAUUUCUGUUUGAUCUGGAUUGGUAUGAGAAAUGAUCUUUUUAAAUUGAUCAUGUAUAAUUUUCAGAGUAUACUCGCUCUGGACAUAUUAUAUUAAUGAUGAUAGUUAUCGCCCGGCUAGUUGAAAUAUUAUUUGACUCUGUAUAAAUAUAACUGAAUUAUUAUUCGACUCUGUACAAAAUUUGAUACUAAAUCUGUCUCUAAGCAGAUAAAUUUUUCUCUAGUAGCACCAACCUUUUAUAUGGCAUAUCUUAUUCCAUCUCUGAUCCCUUUUAAUUUCAAUUGUGAUGCUAUUAGCUGCCAUUUCUAUUGCUUCUAUGAACAUGUAAUUCCACCGACACAGUUGAAGAUUUUUAUAGUUCCACUUAUUCAUCUUUUCCUUUUCUUAACUUGUGCAGCAUACAAUAUGUUUUGUCAUACAUCGACAACUGCAUCCAGUAUGGAGAAGAUGCUGAUGUGAAGGUCAAAGAUUUUGAUCCUCCU
rnacentral:lncRNA from 1 species